GGGGAAUUGUUCGCAAUGGGCGCAAGCCUGACGACGCAACGCCGCGUGGAGGACGAAGAUCUUCGGGUCGUAAACUCCUGUCGAGCGGGACGAAUGUUCCGCGGGCUAACAUCCCGUGGAAGUGACGGUACCGCUAAAGGAAGCCCCGGCUAACUACGUGCCAGCAGCCGCGGUAAUACGUAGGGUGCAAGCGUUAAUCGGAAUUACUGGGCGUAAAGCGUACGCAGGCGGCUUUGCAAGACAGGUGUGAAAUCCCCGGGCCUAACCUGGGAACUGCAUUUGUGACUGCAUGGCUAGAGUUUGUCAGAGGGGGGUGGAAUUCCACGUGUAGCAGUGAAAUGCGUAGAGAUGUGGAAGAACACCGAUGGCGAAGGCAGCCCCCUGGGAUGAGACUGACGCUCAUGUACGAAAGCGUGGGGAGCAAAC
rnacentral:rRNA from 1 species